GAAAUGCGAUAAGUAAUGUGAAUUGCAGAAUUCAGUGAAUCAUCGAAUCUUUGAACGCACCUGGCGCUCCUUGGUAUUCCUUGGAGCAUGCCUGUUUGAGUAUCAUGAAAUCUUCAAAGUAAAUCUUUUGUUAACUCAAUUGGUUUCUACUUUGGUAUUGGAGGUCUUUGCAGCUUCACACCUGCUCCUCUUUGUUCAUUAGCUGGAUCUCAGUGUUAUGCUUGGUUCCACUCGGCGUGAUAAGUUAUCUAUCGCUGAGGACACUGUAAAAGGUGGCCAAGGUAAAUGCAGAUGAACCGCUUCUCAUAGUCCAUUGACUUGGACAAUACUUUUAUGAUCUGAUCUCAAAUCAGGUAGGACUACCCGCUGAACUUAAGC
rnacentral:misc_RNA from 1 species